CCGAUCAGAGGUCUGAAAAAGUUAUACGUAAUAAAACUUUUGCUUGCAAAUUGAGCUGUUUAUGAACUACGUCAUUACAAGCUUUUAAAUAAAUAGAAUAGAACAUAUGAUUUUAAGAACAAUGUGCGCUACAUUGGUAACAUGGUAGCGGUAAACUAUGACAUUAUUAAUUUUCAGUUGGCUACAAAGGUUAAAUAACAUAAAGAAUUAAUCCCAUAAAUACAGCAAGAUAAGGAUACAUAACAUAGACAUAAAGCACAAAAUAAAGCCUGUAUGGGUAUUGCCAGGUGUAUGGGCAUCCUGGCACAUGCUGAAAUGAGCAAUUAUUUUACCACCUCUACAAUGGACACAUUAUUGAAGCUGUGACAGUUGAAUUUGCAUGAACAAGACACCAUCACAAUGUAUGAUUAUGAAAGUUUAUAUUCAUCCCUUAGCCUAGAGCUGACAUGUAUUUUCUUUUACAGGAUCCUUCUUAACAAUGCAGAUGAUGCAAAUAAUCUGGCACCACUACUCAGGAACUUGGCCCGUCUAAUAUGCCAUCAUUCAUACUUCAAAUUUAAAGGUAUUUUCUACAAACAAACCACAGGAGUGCCAAUCGGCUGCCCUAUGGCGGGCCCACUAGCUGAGAUUAUACUUAGGGAAGUCGAGAAAUCUCUCCUUAUUACACUG
rnacentral:lncRNA from 1 species